GACGAACGCUGGCGGCGUGCCUAAUACAUGCAAGUCGAACGCAUUUUCUUUCACCUUGGCUUGCUACACCGAGAGAAAAUGGGUGGCGUACGGGUGAGUAACACUUCGGUAACCUGCGCAUCAGCGAGGGAUAACACUUGGUAACAGGUCCUAAUACCGCAUAAUUCCAUUUACCGCAUGGUAAGUGGCUGUUGGGCGAUUUUGCGUCGCACCUGCAUGGACUCGCGGUGUAUGAGCUAGUAGGUGGGGUAACGGCCUACCAAGGCGGCGAUGCAUAGCCGACCUGAGAGGGUGAUCGGCCACACUGGGACUGAGACACGGCCCAGACUCCUACGGGAGGCAGCAGUAGGGAAUCUUCGGCAAUGGACGCAAGUCUGACCGAGCAACGCCGCGUGAGUGAAGAAGGUUUUCGGAUCGUAAAACUCUGUUGUUAGAGAAGAACAAGGAUGAGAGUGGAAAGUUCACCCCGUGACGGUAGCUAACCAGAAAGCCACGGCUAACUACGUG
rnacentral:rRNA from 1 species